CAGCAGCCGCGGUAAUACCGGCGGCCCGAGUGGCGGUCACUAUUAUUGGGCUUAAAGCGUCCGUAGCCGGGUUGGGAAGUCCUCCGGGAAAUCUGGCCGCUUAACGGUCAGAAUGCCGGAGGAUACUCCCAGCCUAGGGAGCGGGAGAGGCCGAGGGUAUUCCCGGAGUAGGGGUGAAAUCCUAUAAUCCCGGGAGGACCACCUGUGGCGAAGGCGCUCGGCUGGAACGCGUCCGACGGUGAGGGACGAAGGCCAGGGGAGCAAACCGGAUUAGAUACCCGGGUAGUCCUGGCUGUAAACGAUGCGGACUUUGUGUCGGACAAGCUAUGAGCUUGGCCGGUGCCGGAGGGAAACCGUUAAGUCCGCCGCCUGGGGAGUACGGCCGCAAGGCUGAAACUUAAAGGAGGCGGG
rnacentral:rRNA from 1 species